rnacentral:rRNA from 2 species
CAAUAACUGGGGUGAAGUCGUAACAAGGUAGCCGUAUCGGAAGGUGCGGCUGGAUCACCUCCUUU